CAAGACCAUGUGCGGCUCUUUCUAGGUAGUUUCCCUUCCCGCUCCCUCUCUUGUAGAAGCAAAAGGGGGCUGAGCAGCAGAGGGCCGGGUGGCAGCCCCCCCUCGGAGACAGACUCUCCCCCCUGCUGGGGACUUCACUUUUUCGUUAUUCGUUUCCUUUGUUUUCUAGUGAGGAGGACUAUUGUGACGCCUCUUCCCAGGUGCCGCCAUGCAAAUCCCCGCAGAAGACGCUCCCGCGAGCUUCACUGCAAGGUCACAAAAGGGCAACGGCGGCGUCACGGCGUGGAGGGGGAGGGCGUGGAGGAAGUGCUCGCAGAUUCCCAGACCCACAACCAGAUCCCUCCUUCCUUCCCUGGACGGAUUGUCCAGACACGUGAAACCCUUCAGACGGCUGCAGAAGUGGGGUGGGGGAAAGCCGCCUAGGCGGGUAUAGUCUGGAAUAAGCACCACAGUGAGGGUGGGGGUUUACUCUCCCGCAACUGCAUGGACGCGGGUGGCGCUGUGGGUUAAACAACAGAGCCUAGGACUGUUCGAAUCCCCGCGACGGGGUGAGCUUCUGUUGCUCGGUCCCUGUUCCUGCCAACCUAGCAGUUCGAAAGCACCUCAAAGUGCAAGUAGAUAAAUAGGUACCGCUCCAGUGGGAAGGUAAACGGCGUUUCCGUGCACUGCUCUGGUUCGCCAGAAGCGGCUUAGUCAUGCUGGCCACAUGACCCAGAAGCUGUACGCUGGCUGCCUCAGCCAAUAAAGCGAGAUGAGCACAGCAACCCCAGAGUCGGUCACGACUGGACCUAAUGGUCAGGGGUCCCUUUUGCCUUUUACCUUUAAGUCCAUGUAAGAUUGCAACUGCAUGAGCGCAGUCCUCUCUGCACCUUUAAGCUGUAGGCCCUGCAAAGUUCAGUAGCUUAGAUAUCUAACUGAGCAAUGGGGGAUCAUGACACUUCUGGAAUAGUUCAGUCUUGUCCAAGGGCCUGGGGGAGCAGGUGGGCCAGCUUCCGCAUCACCGUCACUGGGCCCAAGAGAAUUUCACUGAAUUUUUUUCUCUCCUUUGACAAUCUUUUGAAUGAAAUCUAGAGUUUGUAUUCAACAGAAGAAGUUUGUCGUUUAGUCGUGUCCGACUCUUCGUGACCCCAUGGACCAAAGCAUGCCAGGCACUCCUGUCUUCCACUGCCCCCCGCAGUUUGGUCAAACUCAUGCUGGUAGCUUUGACAACACUAUCCAACCAUCUCGUCCUCUGUCGUCCCCUUCUCCUUGUGCCCUCAAUCUUUCCGAACAUCAGGGUCUUUUCUAGGGAGUCUUCUCUUCUCAUGAAGUGGCCAAAGUAUUGGAGUCUCAGCUUCAGGAUCUGUCCUUCCAGUGAGCACUCAGGGCUGAUUUCCUUCAGAAUGGAUAGGUUUGAUCUUCUUGCAGUCCCCGGGACUCUCAAGAGUCUCCUCCAGCACCGUAAUUCAAAAGCAUCAAUUCUUCGGCGAUCUGCCUUCUAUAUGGUCCAGCUCUCACUUCCAUACAUCACUACUGGGAAAACCAUAGCUUUAACUGUACAGACCUUUGUUGGCAAGGUGACGUCUCUGCUUUCUAAGAUGCUGUCUAGGUUUGUCAUUGCUUUUAUCCCAAGAACAGAAGAAGUUACCUUUAGUGAAAUGCGUCUUUGCUUUGAGCACACCUUUCGUUGGAAGGCGUUCAGAAUGAAAUCUUAUUGGAGAAGCAAAGAAGCCAUGCUUGCCCCUUUGUUCUCCAAGAUGACAUUGCCACUCAAGAUUCAGAGAAAACGUGAGAGGAGAUGUAGAAGUGAAAGAGAAUGCCACUUAAUGCAGAUCAGUUUGACUUCAAAGUGCAGCUCAGCACAGAGAUCAAAGGGACUGAGACAGUUUAGGAAUCAGGAGAACUCCCACUCUAUUUGUCAACCUCAUGCAGACUCUUCUGAGCAACCUUCAACAAUUUAUUUGUUCAUUAAUUGAUGGAGAAUGUUUGGGGGAGAUAAUGGAAGACAUUAUCAGCAUGUUAACAGUGCAAAACACCCUUGCCUUUUCAAUUGCCAACAUUUUGCCUGUGACUUUCGUAGGAGCUAAAAUCAUGAAUAAUAAAGUGUCCAUGGAAUUAAAUUUAGGUAAAACUGUACAGUGAAGGAUCCUAAGCACAUAGGGGGAAAUGAGUACAGUUUUCAUCUUACUUGAGAUGAGUACGUUUGUUUAAAUCUCACAGGCACACAUACAAGCUAGUUAUAGCUGCCAUGAAUAAACUUGUUUUGCACCAAAC